rnacentral:rRNA from 1 species
UAGGGAAUCUUCGGCAAUGGACGAAAGUCUGACCGAGCAACGCCGCGUGAGUGAAGAAGGUUUUCGGAUCGUAAAACUCUGUUGUUAGAGAAGAACAAGGACGUUAGUAACUGAACGUCCCCUGACGGUAUCUAACCAGAAAGCCACGGCUAACUACGUGCCAGCAGCCGCGGUAAUACGUAGGUGGCAAGCGUUGUCCGGAUUUAUUGGGCGUAAAGCGAGCGCAGGCGGUUUCUUAAGUCUGAUGUGAAAGCCCCCGGCUCAACCGAGGAGGGUCAUUGGAAACUGGGAGACUUGGGUGCAGAAGAGGAGAGUGGAAUUCCAUGUGUAGCGGUGAAAUGCGUAGAUAUAUGGAGGAACACCAGUGGCGAAGGCGGCUCUCUGGUCUGUAACUGACGCUGAGGCUCGAAAGCGUGGGGAGCAAACAGG